GUACACUCCUACGGGAGGCAGCAGUGGGGAAUAUUGGACAAUGGGCGCAAGCCUGAUCCAGCCAUGCCGCGUGAGUGAUGAAGGCCCUAGGGUUGUAAAGCUCUUUCACCGGUGAAGAUAAUGACGGUAACCGGAGAAGAAGCCCCGGCUAACUUCGUGCCAGCAGCCGCGGUAAUACGAAGGGGGCUAGCGUUGUUCGGAUUUACUGGGCGUAAAGCGCACGUAGGCGGACUAUUAAGUCAGGGGUGAAAUCCCGGGGCUCAACCCCGGAACUGCCUUUGAUACUGGUAGUCUUGAGUUCGAGAGAGGUGAGUGGAAUUCCGAGUGUAGAGGUGAAAUUCGUAGAUAUUCGGAGGAACACCAGUGGCGAAGGCGGCUCACUGGCUCGAUACUGACGCUGAGGUGCGAAAGCGUGGGGAGCAAACAGGAUUAGAUACCCUAGUAGUCCCAUG
rnacentral:rRNA from 1 species